rnacentral:rRNA from 1 species
AUGGCUCAGGAUGAACGCUAGCUACAGGCUUAACACAUGCAAGUCGAGGGGCAGCAGAUCGAAAGCUUGCUUUGAUGCUGGCGACCGGCGCACGGGUGAGUAACGCGUAUCCAACCUUCCCUGUAGUAGAGAAUAGCCCGGCGAAAGUCGGAUUAAUGCUCUAUGUUGUAUUUCGAUGACAUCUGAAGAAUACCAAAGGUUUACCGCUAUAGGAUGGGGAUGCGUCUGAUUAGGUUGUUGGCGGGGUAACGGCCCACCAAGCCUACGAUCAGUAGGGGUUCUGAGAGGAAGGUCCCCCACAUUGGAACUGAGACACGGUCCAAACUCCUACGGGAGGCAGCAGUGAGGAAUAUUGGUCAAUGGACGGAGGUCUGAACCAGCCAAGUAAGCGUGCAGGAUGACGGCCCUAUGGGUUGUAAACUGCUUUUAUAUGGGGAUAAAGUGAGGGACGUGUCCCUUUUUGUAGGUACCAUAUGAAUAAGGACCGGCUAAUUCCGUGCCAGCCGCCGC